rnacentral:rRNA from 1 species
GGAGGGUGCAAGCGUUAAUCGGAAUCACUGGGCGUAAAGCGCACGUAGGCGGCUUGGUAAGUCAGGGGUGAAAUCCCACAGCCCAACUGUGGAACUGCCUUUGAUACUGCCAGGCUUGAGUACCGGAGAGGGUGGCGGAAUUCCAGGUGUAGGAGUGAAAUCCGUAGAUAUCUGGAGGAACACCGGUGGCGAAGGCGGCCACCUGGACGGUAACUGACGCUGAGGUGCGAAAGCGUGGGUAGCAAACAGGAUUAGAUACCCUGGUAGUCCACGCUGUAAACGAUGGGUGCUGGGUGCUGGGAUGUAUGUCUCGGUGCCGUAGCUAACGCGGUAAGCACCCCGCCUGGGGAGU